AUUAGACGAAUCAUCUGGAAAGAUGAAUCAAAGAAGGUAAUAAUCCUGUAGUCGAAAAUGUUGUCUCUCUUGAGUGGAUCCUGAGUACGACGGAGCACGUGAAAUUCCGUCGGAAUCUGGGAGGACCAUCUCCUAAGGCUAAAUACUCUCUAGUGACCGAUAGUGAACCAGUACCGUGAGGGAAAGGUGAAAAGCACCCCGGAAGGGGAGUGAAAUAGAACCUGAAACCGUGUGCUUACAAGUAGUCAGAGCCCGUUAAUGGGUGAUGGCGUGCCUUUUGUAGAAUGAACCGGCGAGUUACGAUUUGAUGCAAGGUUAAGCAGUAAAUGUGGAGCCGUAGCGAAAGCGAGUCUGAAUAGGGCGUUUAGUAUUUGGUCGUAGACCCGAAACCAGGUGAUCUACCCUUGGUCAGGUUGAAGUUCAGGUAACACUGAAUGGAGGACCGAACCGACUUACGUUGAAAAGUGAGCGGAUGAACUGAGGGUAGCGGAGAAAUUCCAAUCGAACCUGGAGAUAGCUGGUUCUCUCCGAAAUAGCUUUAGGGCUAGCCUCAAGUGAUGAUUAUUGGAGGUAGAGCACUGUUUGGACGAGGGGCCCCUCUCGGGUUACCGAAUUCAGACAAACUCCGAAUGCCAAUUAAUUUAACUUGGGAGUCAGAACAUGGGUGAUAAGGUCCGUGUUCGAAAGGGAAACAGCCCAGACCACCAGCUAAGGUCCCAAAAUAUAUGUUAAGUGGAAAAGGAUGUGGCGUUGCCCAGACAACUAGGAUGUUGGCUUAGAAGCAGCCAUCAUUUAAAGAGUGCGUAAUAGCUCACUAGUCGAGUGACACUGCGCCGAAAAUGUACCGGGGCUAAACAUAUUACCGAAGCUGUGGAUUGUCCUUUGGACAAUGGUAGGAGAGCGUUCUAAGGGCGUUGAAGCAUGAUCGUAAGGACAUGUGGAGCGCUUAGAAGUGAGAAUGCCGGUGUGAGUAGCGAAAGACGGGUGAGAAUCCCGUCCACCGAUUGACUAAGGUUUCCAGAGGAAGGCUCGUCCGCUCUGGGUUAGUCGGGUCCUAAGCUGAGGCCGACAGGCGUAGGCGAUGGAUAACAGGUUGAUAUUCCUGUACCACCUAUAAUCGUUUUAAUCGAUGGGGGGACGCAGUAGGAUAGGCGAAGCGUGCGAUUGGAUUGCACGUCUAAGCAGUAAGGCUGAGUAUUAGGCAAAUCCGGUACUCGUUAAGGCUGAGCUGUGAUGGGGAGAAGACAUUGUGUCUUCGAGUCGUUGAUUUCACACUGCCGAGAAAAGCCUCUAGAUAGAAAAUAGGUGCCCGUACCGCAAACCGACACAGGUAGUCAAGAUGAGAAUUCUAAGGUGAGCGAGCGAACUCUCGUUAAGGAACUCGGCAAAAUGACCCCGUAACUUCGGGAGAAGGGGUGCUCUUUAGGGUUAACGCCCAGAAGAGCCGCAGUGAAUAGGCCCAAGCGACUGUUUAUCAAAAACACAGGUCUCUGCUAAACCGUAAGGUGAUGUAUAGGGGCUGACGCCUGCCCGGUGCUGGAAGGUUAAGAGGAGUGGUUAGCUUCUGCGAAGCUACGAAUCGAAGCCCCAGUAAACGGCGGCCGUAACUAUAACGGUCCUAAGGUAGCGAAAUUCCUUGUCGGGUAAGUUCCGACCCGCACGAAAGGCGUAACGAUUUGGGCACUGUCUCAACGAGAGACUCGGUGAAAUCAUAGUACCUGUGAAGAUGCAGGUUACCCGCGACAGGACGGAAAGACCCCGUGGAGCUUUACUGUAGCCUGAUAUUGAAAUUCGGCACAGCUUGUACAGGAUAGGUAGGAGCCUUUGAAACGUGAGCGCUAGCUUACGUGGAGGCGCUGGUGGGAUACUACCCUAGCUGUGUUGGCUUUCUAACCCGCACCACUUAUCGUGGUGGGAGACAGUGUCAGGCGGGCAGUUUGACUGGGGCGGUCGCCUCCUAAAAGGUAACGGAGGCGCUCAAAGGUUCCCUCAGAAUGGUUGGAAAUCAUUCAUAGAGUGUAAAGGCAUAAGGGAGCUUGACUGCGAGACCUACAAGUCGAGCAGGGUCGAAAGACGGACUUAGUGAUCCGGUGGUUCCGCAUGGAAGGGCCAUCGCUCAACGGAUAAAAGCUACCCCGGGGAUAACAGGCUUAUCUCCCCCAAGAGUUCACAUCGACGGGGAGGUUUGGCACCUCGAUGUCGGCUCAUCGCAUCCUGGGGCUGUAGUCGGUCCCAAGGGUUGGGCUGUUCGCCCAUUAAAGCGGUACGCGAGCUGGGUUCAGAACGUCGUGAGACAGUUCGGUCCCUAUCCGUCGUGGGCGUAGGAAAUUUGAGAGGAGCUGUCCUUAGUACGAGAGGACCGGGAUGGACAUACCUCUGGUGUACCAGUUGUCGUGCCAACGGCAUAGCUGGGUAGCUAUGUGUGGACGGGAUAAGUGCUGAAAGCAUCUAAGCAUGAAGCCCCCCUCAAGAUGAGAUUUCCCAACUUCGGUUAUAAGAUC
rnacentral:rRNA from 1 species